rnacentral:lncRNA from 1 species
GGGCAGAGAGAAAACAGUUCGAGAGACUGCUUGAUGGCUAAGAAUACUCAAUGUUCUUGUAGAUGCCCCUGCAUUAAAAGUAAGUAGAACUCCAAUCAGGCAUUGGUGGAGCACGCCUUUAAUCCCAGCACUCGAGAGGCAGAGAUUAAAUGUGUACAACACCACUGCCCAGCUCAGGGUGGCUUUUAAAAUAGUUUUUUAAAGAUAAAUUUAUUUUAUGUAUAUGAGUGCUCUAUCUGCAUGUACACCUUUAUGCCGGAAGAUGGCAUCAGAUCCCUCUAGAGACGGUUGUGAGCCACCAUGUUGUUGCUGGGACUCGUACUCAGGACCUCUGAAAGACCAGCCAUUGCUCUUAAACGCUGAGCCCCAAAAUAGAUUUUUUUGUGUUUGUAAUUCUGGAGGGUUUUGGGAGUGGGUGGGAACUGAGGAAUGUGCGCGUGAACUCAGCACUCUCAGAGGCCGGGGGAGAGACAGUGGGAUCUGCUGCUGUUACAGUUUCACACACUUGUGAGCUGUCCGAAGUGGAAACUGGGAACAGAACUUCGUCCCCCUGGAAAAGCAGCAGUGAGCGCUUACCCGCUGAGCUGCCUCCCCAGCCUCCUACCAGCUUUGAUGAUGGACCUCAUACAUGCAAAGCACACCACCGAGCAAUAGCCAUUUUCUACACUGGAGGAGGUUUGAAUAUCAUACUUUGGACACCUUUGCGUGCACGUGUGCUGAGACAGGGUGGCGAUCCUCCUGUCUCGGUCUCAAGAAAGCCGGGACUGCAGGUCUGCGUGUAUCAGCACAUCAGUUCUACUGGUCCAGACACCUGUGGUGGAUGAACAAGGCCUGAGACUCCCAGUCAAACGCCUCCGUUUCUUUUUCUCCCAGCGCACUGCUCCUCCAGCAGGUCAUCCCGAAAGCCUGGACCCCCGUGAACCCGCCACUUAGAGAAUAAAAUUUAAAACCACGAGUCUCUGUCUCCAGAAGCCUUCAAACCGAGACAGUGGGUGACCCCAGCGUUUCCUCGCAGAUCCAGAAAGGCCACUAGAUGGCGAUGUGGAGCCGACCGCAAGAUGAGCCUCCUUCCUCUUCCCCUAACUUCCCAGCACCGAGGUCCCUGUCCCGGAGGGACCCGAGCGUCGGGACUGGCCCGCUUGCCACGGGUUUCCCCGGUUUCAGAGGCAGCCAAGUGCUGGGCGCGGCCAGAGUGAGGGCCCCGUGCGCUCCCUAGCCAUGCGGGCCAAGCCCGGGACGGCGCGGAGACCCGAGCCCCGGGCCCCGAGACGCCGCCUCGGCCGUCCCGCCUCGGCCGUCCGCAGCAGAG